ACAGCAGAAAGCACAACCACCAUGACUCUCAUCACCAUCCUCAUCUGGACGCUGACCUGCUGCUGUUUUACAGGAUGCAGCGGUCAGGUGACUGUGACUCAACCUCCAGUAGAGACAUCGACUCCUGGAUCCACUGUGACAGUGGCUUGUAGGACCAGCCAAGCUGUUAAGAGAUGGGAUGAUGGUGACGCCAUGUACUGGUAUCAACAUAAAUCUGGACAGGCUCCAAAGCUCCUAAUAAAAUAUGCAAAAACACUUCAGUCAGGAACACCAACUCGAUUUAGUGGCAGUGGAAGCAGCGCUGACUUUUCUAUGACCGUCAGUGGAGUUCAGGUUGAGGAUGCAGCAGUUUACUACUGUCAGAGUGAACAUUACAUAAACAGUGCUUGGGUGUUCACACAGUGA